AAGAAGAAUCAUUAAAAGUAGCAGAAAUUUUUUAGACGCGAUUAAUUUUGAUAAGUUUUCAAAUUACAAUAUCAUCCCCCACAAACCUAUUAAAUAACAUAAAUUUUAUAGAAAAAUGAAAUUUACAAACUUAAUUACACUUAAAAUAUGAAAUUUUAUUAGAAAACUGUGAUUUAAGCACUUAAAAUUGCUAAUGAAAAAUUCUCUAACUCGUGCACGGUCUACUCUCUACUGCUACAUAAUUGAUUGAUUUUUUUUUGUAACCACACUGGUCGAGACACACAACUACACUCCGUAUAUUUUGUGCACUUGGAAAAUUUAUAUUGUACAUAUUGAGGUGAAGAUGAUAAUGAUGAUGAUGGUGAUCACGAUGAUGAGGUUGAUGAUAAAUAAGCAAUAACUAUUACUAAAUGUGUGUAGUGUGGUUGGAACACUCAAGUUUUGAAUGAACAAAAUUAAACCAAAAUAAAAUACCCAUAAAAAAUACAGAAAAAAAUAAAAAAUGAUAAAACAGUGAAUUGUGUAAGUUGAAAAACGAUGAUUUUUUUGUUUUAAGUACUAAUAAUAAUAAGUAAAGGAUUUAAAGAUAAGAAAUUGUUAUUAAUAUAAAGAAAACUACAUGACGGAAUCGGACACAAAAGAUUUCGACAGCGUUUUUGUAGAGAAUGCAGCAGAGGUGGCCGCCGACACUAAUAACAGCAGCAUUGCGGUCGAUUUGGAGGUCGUGAAUGUAGUGGCCGCUGGUAAUAACGGAAAAAACGACAUCAAAGUGUCUGAAGAGGGUGUAGCCAAAUUGACAUUCGGUUUUCUAGACGAUAUGCAAGGUGGCGAUAGUAGUUUAGAACCGGGAGAGGUAAAAACACCUCCGCCCGGUUCUAGUCCAGCCACGGUUAAGGAACAUACACCUUCACGUUUGGCCCAGGAAACGACCAGAGCCACCGGCUAAGCAAUUAUCCAAGGAUACAUUGGCUAAAGCUUUAAAAACUGUAUCACAAAUGGAAGCGGAAGCUUGUGAGGAAAAAGUACGUGCAAUUUUAGAAUUAGAUGCCAAGAGGCGUAAAGAGGAAGUAGAGAAACGUAAAUUGGAGGCUGAAAAGCGUAGGCAAUCAGGAGAAACAGAUUGGAAUUAGAGCGUAAGCGUAAGGCUAAAGAAGAGCGUAAGAAACUAAAGAAAUUAAAAAAGGGUAAGUGUUUUUUUAUUUAUAAAUUUAAAAUAAUUAUAAAAAAUUUUAUUAUUUUAAUCUUUAGCCCAAAGGCAGCAAUAAAGCCUUAAUAAGCGGGCGAUGAAGAUAAUACUGAAACAGCUCAAAGUAAAAAGCGUUAAAAUUAAAAAGGCCACUGAAUCGGAAGAAAGCGAAGGUUUAUGUUCUUCCGGCGCCGAAGAUGAUGAUGAGCAUGUUAGCGAAAAACAGGGCAAUAUAUUAAAUUCUGCCAUUGCCAUACCUUCUAUGCCAGCAACACGUUAUCCACCACAUUUACCGCCUCCUCAUAUUUUAACAGAAGCAUUUAUGGGUGGUUUCCGUCCUAUGAAUCCUUUCAUGCGUGCUCCCCGCCCUGACUUUUCGCAUGGACGUGGUGGUGGUUUAUACCAAGAGGUCGUGGUGGUAUGCGUGGUGGUCGUAUGCCCUUCCAAGGUUUUCGUCCACCCUUUUUUGCAGGCGUUGGUAAUAGUGGCGGUGCAGCUCCUAAAUUUAAUGUUCCUCAUGGUUCGCAUGGUCUUCAGCAACAACGUCAUCAUCAUCACCACCAUACACCGCCACCUAAUCGUGGCCAUUCACCUAUACUGCCACCAUCUGCGGAUUUACAAUGGACAAAAUGUAAACCAACCUUAUCGUAUGCAUUUAAUAUAAUAGAGAACACAAUAAAUUCCAUAACGCUUAUUCAGACGCAAAACCACACAGUUCAAAUAAAGAGCCAUCAGAAGAAGAUUGGAAUGAUGAGAGCCCAGAAGCUGAUAAUAAACAAGAUGAUGAUGAUCAUCAUAAACAUAAUCAACAUGAACAAAUACGUAAAAAAGACAAAAAGCACAAAUCACUCUCGAAAGAAAAGAAAAAGUCGAAAAAACAUAAAACAAAAGAUUCUAAAAAAUCAAAAAGGCAUCGGAAAACCCUGUCUACAUCAUCGCUAACAGGGAAACAUAAGAAAACAUCAAAUAAAUCGAGUAGAAGAAAAAUUGAAAAAAUACGUAAAUCCUAUGGAUCAUCGAAUAGAUCAACACCCACGCAGCAGCAGCAACACGAACAUUCUUCAGAGGAUACAGAGAUAACAAAUCAGAAUUUGCGGGAUGGGUUAGAGAAAGAGGAGCAUCCAGAGAAAGACCUGGGGGAAAAAAUGCCCAAUGAAGAGGAAAUAC